rnacentral:rRNA from 1 species
UUGGAGGGCAAGUCUGGUGCCAGCAGCCGCGGUAAUUCCAGCUCCAAUAGCGUAUAUUAAAGUUGUUGCAGUUAAAAAGCUCGUAGUUGAAUUUCGGGGUUAGUAGGUUGGUCAUGCCUCUGGUAUGUACUGGUCUCACUGAUUCCUCCUUCCUGAUGAACCGUAAUGCCAUUAAUUUGGUGUUGCGGGGAAUUUGGACUGUUACUUUGAAAAAAUUAGAGUGUUUAAAGCAAGCUAACGCUUGAAUACAUUAGCAUGGAAUAAUGAAAUAGGACGUUCGAUCCUAUUUUGUUGGUUUCUAGGAUUGACGUAAUGAUUAAUAGGGAUAGUUGGG